AAAAAAAAAUCAAAAUUUGUAAAAAUCCAACAACGGUAUUUUUCAUUUUUUUUCCAAUCAAAUAAAUUCAAAUCUUUAAAUAUAUACAAUGUAAACUUAAUGAAACAUACACACACAACUACAAUCACAGGUAAGCAACGACCAGAAAGAGGAAGAAUCAGAAGGAGGAGGAAGAAGCAAUUUCCUGAGAAGUCUUCUUCCACCUUCUCUCUUACUCUCUCUCUAUCAAAGUUACCGUUAAGUGCUGUUGGAACUCGCCGGUGCGAGAAAGUUCCUCACCGUGGACCUUCCGGUCCUCAGUGACCCGCCUUCGAAUCCGAAUCUAGCAAACUGUGCACAGAACCCAUGUCCGUCCACCCCAUCAUUCACUUCCCCCCACCAAAUCCCACAAGCUCUGUUUCUAGACUUCCCCCAAUUUCUUCUAAUCCCUAAAACCCUAAUCAAUCCUUCUCUGCAUCUUCAUCUCAAAUGCACAACAAUGGAAAGGAACCCCAAAUUUUUUCUUACACUAGUACUGUUGGUAAUCGUAACAUCAAAAGAUCAAGAGUUCGUCUCUCUCCUAGACUGCACAGAAUGAUCAAUGGGAAACCAAUUGUGUCCUUCUCUCAAGAUGAAAACAAAUUGCUGGCCCAAACCUACAAAUGGACAAUAAUAGGCAUUUUCACUCAUAUCCGACCCUCGAUUGACAUCAUCAGAAAAGAAACUGCUAAAAUCUUUCCGAGCAAAGGUAUGAUCUAGGGUUGGAGACAGCUGAACAUCUUUUCUGCAAAGGACACUAUGCACAACUCAUUUGGAGUUUCUUUGCUGGAAGAAUGGGAAUCAUCAUAAAAAAUGCUAACCUCAGAGAUAUAUUGCAAAGGUGCUGGAACUGCUCAACCAAAAAUCCUGUUGCUGCCUACAUUUUGAAGAUCAUCCCACCAAUCAAUAUGUGGGAACUUUGGAGAUCAAGAUGCAGCUCUAAAUAUGAGGAUGAAAAACCUUCUACCAGAAGAUCUAUCUCCCUUAUUUCUUUCAAUAUCUGCUAGUUAGCAAAGAAAACAUUCCCUAGAAUUGAAAUUCCUGACUACUGGAACAAUCUACUCAAGAUUAUGGAAGCUAACUUAAUUGAUAAUACUAUCAUUCCUGUUAAAUGGAUCAAGCCCCCUAUUCUUUUUGUCAAGAUGAAUUCUGAUGGAUCUUGUGUUGGAGAAAAUAGUGGAGGGGGUGGAGUGGUUAGAUACUCUAUGGGUAACUGCAUUAUGGCAUUCAUCCUCCUACUAGUAAAUGGUACCAGCAACACUCCAGAGGCAAAUGCAUUCCUUUUUUGCCCCAGAUGGUGCAUCAACAAUGGCUACAACCUUAUUAUUGCUGAAACUUAUUCUUUACUCCUUCGAAACUGCAUUGCAGAUAAUUGGACUUCUCCAUGGAGGAUUAAAGAAACAGUAGAAGAAAUUAAGAAGCUAGCUCUUGGUCAUGAGAUAGUCUUUAAUCAUUGUUUUAGAGAAGCCAACAAAAUGGCAGAUAAGCUUGUUUUUGUGAGUUAUGCAUCUGAGAUAACAAGAUUUAUACCCAUCCAAACUCUUUGUCAAGGCAAGUCAAGGGUCUUCUGAACAUGAAUAGAUGGCAAUUUCCUACUUUUAGAGUUAACCAAAAAAAAAAAAAAAAAAAAGAAGCCAGGCAUAUUUAUUUUGAUCCCCCUUGAACUGCCUCUAAGUUGCCACUCAUGUGUAUAUUUUUUUGCUCAAAAAACUUCUACAAUUCUCCAAGAAGGCAAGUCCUAGUCCUCCUUCUUCAAAUGCAAUUCUCUUCAGAUGGCAAUGAAAUAUGGACAUAAUGGAUGUUAAUUAAAACAAAAAAAAAUACGAAAAAAAAGAAAAAAAAGAGAUGCAAUUUCCUGGGAAAAAGUUAAAUCUGUUAAAUUAACUUUUGUUUUAACAAGCUAAAAAAUUAAAUGAUGUCCGUAGAAAGGACAUCCCACAUAAAUUCCUUUAAAUUUUGUCUCUUUUUU